rnacentral:lncRNA from 1 species
CAAAAUUAAAUCAAUAUGUCAACAUGGCUACUGGGUGUAAAAGAUAAAUCUUAUUCUAUCUGUUUUUAAUGAGUUUUAGAUAAUUUUAGUUGUAUUUCUUUGUAAUUUUGUGUUGUACAAAGAUUAAUUUAACAUUUUCUCUGGAAGUAUUAAUUUAGAAAGAUAAUAUGCUUCAUUGGUGUUGUGUUUUGAAGUGUGAAAUGCAAAGUAAUUGUGAUAAAGUCAAGAUAAAGUUCACUUUUAAACUGAACUAAAUAAGGUAUCUGAGAGACAACAAUGGUUAAAUGCAAUACAAUGUACAGGUUUUACUAGCGAAAUGAAAAUUUUCCUGUCCUGUCUGCUGUAAUCAUUUUAUAUCUGGAAAACCAGCCGACUUAAUCGAUAAUAACAAUCUCCAGAUUGGGUUCCUUCAAUAAAUAUGGGCUAUAAACACAAUGAAAUAAGUUCCCCAAAAUCUAAAAUGGAGUGGUAUCAAAGGAGAAUUAAAGGAAAAAA